rnacentral:rRNA from 1 species
UACGUAGGUGGCAAGCGUUGUCCGGAUUUCCUGGGCGUAAAGAGCGCGCAGGCGGUCGUUUAAGUCGAAUGUGAAAGCCCCCGGCUCAACUGGGGAGGGUCAUUCGAUACUGAUCGACUUGAAGGCAGGAGAGGGAAGUGGAAUUCCGGGUGUAGUGGUGAAAUGCGUAGAUAUCUGGAGGAACACCGGUGGCGAAGGCGGCAUCCUGGACCAACACUGACGCUGAGGAGCGAAAGCCAGGGGAGCAAACGGG